UAGAUUUUUAUAAGAGGUGAUUCAGAAUGC
rnacentral:piRNA from 1 species